UACGUAGGGUGCAAGCGUUGUCCGGAAUUAUUGGGCGUAAAGAGCUCGUAGGCGGUUUGUCGCGUCUUCUGUGAAAACUCGGGGCUUAACCCCGAGCCUGCAGUGGAUACGGGCAGACUAGAGGUAGGUAGGGGAGAAUGGAAUUCCCGGUGUAGCGGUGAAAUGCGCAGAUAUCGGGAGGAACACCGGUGGCGAAGGCGGUUCUCUGGGCCUUACCUGACGCUGAGGAGCGAAAGCGUGGGGAGCGAACAGG
rnacentral:rRNA from 1 species